GGCGGCGGCGGCGGCGGCGACACGCACGAGCCUCGCAUCUCGCAUCGGCGAAACGGCGGGCCGGUGCGUGCGCCACCGAGAAAAAGAAUUUCAGUCACGAGCCACAGCGACGACGGCGACUACGGCGGAACGACGACUUCAUGGUCGGGGACGAAUUCGGCAAUGUCUCUCGGGGUGAUCGAGCGGUGCGGGGAAAUAUGAAUGAAAGAUCGAAAAAUACUGUCCGGGUUGAAAUGCAGGAGAUAACGCGACGGUAAAUGGUCCGCGGAGGUUAGUCUGGAUACGAGCACCGCCGACAAGCUAAACGAGCCUCACUGUCUGCAAUCGGAAACCGGUUAGACGAAACUUUCGAAAAUUCCAGAAUGACGUAGUCUUUAGCGCGUGUGUACUUGCAUCGUGAAGAUACACAGUCCGUGGUCUCUCUCUCCCGUCGUUCUUCAUUUACAGUUACUUACGUAAGACACUCCCGGGGCCCUCUUUCUUGUCUGUUCGACGCAUGACAAUCGACUCGGUCACGUUUUAUCGUAUGCGAACGAAACGCACACGUGCGCCCCGUCGUACUCUCGAGUGCUCUUUCGUCCAUUAUUAUUAGCCGCGUUAUUAUUAUUUCUUUUCGGAUAAAUUUAUCGUACACUUACCUUGCGGUCACCAUUGUUAGAAACACUGUAUUAGCACGAUAAAAUUAAUCACUUUGCCGAUAAAGUUGCACGAACGCGCGUACGGUAAACACUUCGCCGCCGCGUGCUUGAAAAGCGUUUUACAAGAAAUAUUUCAGCAGAAUAUUUUCUGCGCAUUCCACAGAAAAGAAACAGAUGAUAAAUUUGCAUGCGAGGCGACCAGAAAAGGCACGCUCGAGCCGAAGAAAGUGUGUAUCGAUUUAGCAGGAUCGGAUCGAAACGCUACAUUUUCCCCCUUCGAAUGCGACAUCGAUGAAAACGAUGCCCUUGAUCGAGGAAGAUGGAGCUACUAGUUAGCCAAACAGAACAAUGGGGGUAACCAUUCACAAUGGCCUUGAGCAGCCAAUUAAGUUCGACAUAGCCGUCGCAUGUAUGUAUGCACACUUUCAAAUUGUGAGGUCGGAAGAAAUAUUGCAGAACAGGGGGG